GUAGUUGAACUUAGGAUUAUUACAAGUCUGGUUUUGUUGAUUCAAAAACUGCUUGCUUAAUCCUUAUCUACUAGAUACUCUAUUCUGUACUUAAUUGUAUGGAAUAUCACCUAGCCAGUGGAACUUUGGUUAAAUGGUGCCUUUAUUGAUACCAGAGUGUAAAAACUCGAAGUGUCAACAAGGGAUCACACUAUUUGAUUGAAGUGGGGUUCUAGUUAAUUUACUUUGAGUAAAUUAGAGUGUUCAAAGCAGCCUCUUGGGGCUUUGAAUAGAUUUAGCAUGGGAUAAUAAAAUAGGAUUUGAUAACCUAUUUGUUGGUUUGAGUUAAUCAAAUAAUGAUUAAUAGGGACAGUUGGGGGCGAUUCAUAUUAAAUGGUUAGCGGUGAAAUGUGUGGACCCAUUUAAGAUGAACUAAAGCGAAAGACAUUUGCCAAGGAUGUUUCAUUAAUCAAGAACGAAAGUUAAGGGAUCGAAGACGAUUAGAUACCGUCGUAGUCUUAACUAUAAACUAAUG
rnacentral:rRNA from 1 species